GUGCUCACUUUGGCAGCACACAUACUGAAAUUGAAAUGAUACAGAUAAGAUUAGCAUGGCCCCUGCACAAGGAUAACACGAAAAUUCGUGAAGGGUUCCAUAUUUUU